AUUUAUAAAGUUUUUAAAACAUUUCAUUUUCAUUGAAAAAAGAGAUAUUUAUAUCUUAUAAAUA
rnacentral:tRNA from 1 species